GAUGAACGCUGGCGGCGUGCCUAACACAUGCAAGUCGAGCGAGACGGUUAUGACGGAUUCUUCGGAUGACGGAUUAACUAGAAAGCGGCGGACGGGUGAGUAACGCGUAGGUAACCUGCCCCCAUACACAGGGAUAGCCAUCGGAAACGAUGAUUAAUACCUGAUAAUACUAAGAUAACACAUGUUGACUUAGUCAAAGAUUUAUCGGUAUGGGAUGGACCCGCGUCUGAUUAGCUAGUUGGUAAGGUAACGGCUUACCAAGGCGACGAUCAGUAGCCGACCUGAGAGGGUGAUCGGCCACACUGGAACUGAGACACGGUCCAG
rnacentral:rRNA from 1 species